rnacentral:rRNA from 1 species
GUUUGAUUCUGGCUCAGAUUGAACGCUGGCGGGAUGCUUUACACAUGCAAGUCGAACGGCAGCACGGACUUCGGUCUGGUGGCGAGUGGCGAACGGGUGAGUAAUGUAUCGAAACGUGCCUAGUAGCGGGGGAUAACUACGCGAAAGCGUAGCUAAUACCGCAUACGGCCCUUCGGGGGAAAGCGGGGGGACCUUCGGGCCUCGCACUAUUAGAGCGGCCGAUAUCGGAUUAGCUAGUUGGUGGGGUAACGGCUCACCAAGGCGACGAUCCGUAGCUGGUUUGAGAGGACGACCAGCCACACUGGGACUGAGACACGGCCCAGACUCCUACGGAGGCAGUGGGGAAUUUUGGACAAUGGGGGGAAACCCUGAUCCAGCCAUCCUGGGCGUGUGCGAUGAAGGCCUUCGGGUUGUAAAGCACUUUUGGCAGGAAAGAAACGGCACGGGAUAACAUUCCCUGUGCAACUGACGGUACCUGCAGAAUAAGCACCGGCUAACUACGUGCCAGCAGCCGCGGUAAUACGUAGGUGCAAGUUGUUGUCUGGAAUUACUGGGCGUAAAGCGUGCGCAGGCGGUUCGAAAGAAAGAUGUGAAAUCCCAGAGCUUAACUUUGGAACUGCAUUUUUAACUACCGAUGAGUGUGAAGAGGGAGUGUGGAAUUCGCGUGUAGCAGUGAAAUGCGUAGAUAUGCGGAGGAACACCGAUGGCGAAGGCAGCCCUCCUGGGAUAACACUGACGCUCAUGCACGAAAGCGUGGGGAGCAAACAGGAUUAGAUACUCCUGGUAGUCCACGCCCUAAACGUCAACUAGCUGUUGGGGCCUUCGGGCCUUGGUAGCGCAGCUAACGCGUGGUUUGACCGCCUGGGGAGUACGGUCGCAAGAUUAAAACUCAAAGGAAUUGACGGGGACCCGCACAAGGUGGAUGAUGUGGAUUAAUUCGAUGCAACGCGAAAAACCUUACCUACCCUUGACAUGUCUGGAAUCCCGAAGAGAUUUGGGAGUGCUCGCAAGAGAACCGGAACACAGGUGCUGCAUGGCUGUCGUCAGCUCGUGUCGUGAGAUGUUGGGUUAAGUCCUGCAACGAGCGCAACCCUUGUCAUUAGUUGCUACGAAAGGGCACCUAAUGAGACUGCCGGUGACAAACCGGAGGAAGGUGGGGAUGACGUCAAGUCCUCAUGGCCCUUAUGGGUAGGGCUUCACACGUCAUACAAUGGUCGGGACAGAGGGUCGCCAACCCGCGAGGGGGAGCCAAUCCCAGAAACCCGAUCGUAGUCCGGAUCGCAGUCUGCAACUCGACUGCGGAAGUCGGAAUCGCUAGUAAUCGUGGAUCAGCAUGUCGCGGUGAAUACGUUCCCGGGUCUUGUACACACCGCCCGUCACACCGGCGGAGUGGGUUUUACCAGCAGUUAGCAGCCUAACUGUAAGGAGGGCGAUUACCACGGUAGGAUUCAUGACUGGGGUGAAGUCGUAACAAGGUAG